GAAGUUGUACAGGUAGUCAGUCCAACUCCUCCAGGAUGACACAUUAAUAUGACAUGUUCCAGAAGGUUCGCUGUGUCUUCCACCGCAGUCUCAAGGGCAUGGAGGAGCUUUCAGGAGAAAGUCACACCCUGGAUAAAGAACACCCUCAGUUCACCUAUGGGCUCCCAGAAGAACACUUGAGAACAUGAACAAAGGAACAAAGGGAAAUGCCGAGAGCAGGAGGCCGUAUAAAGGACGGCCAUCAGGACUCGUACCCUAAUUGGGUGGGAUGUGCCGUGAAUGCUCGGUGACCACAGACGUGUGGUCAAACCACAUAAGUGGAGUUCUGUUCUGAGUGAGUAUGCCUUUUGAAU